rnacentral:rRNA from 1 species
GUUCGAUUCCGGAGAGGGAGCCUGAGAAACGGCUACCACAUCCAAGGAAGGCAGCAGGCGCGCAAAUUACCCAAUCCCAAUACGGGGAGGUAGUGACAAUAAAUAACAAUAUGGGGCCCUUACGGGUUUCGUAAUUGGAAUGAGUACAAUUUAAAUCUCUUAACGAGGAACAAUUGGAGGGCAAGUCUGGUGCCAGCAGCCGCGGUAAUUCCAGCUCCAAUAGCGUAUAUUAAAGUUGUUGCAGUUAAAAAGCUCGUAGUUGAAUUUCGGAAUCUGUCCGUUGGUCGGGCUUCAUUGUCCGUACUGGUGUGAUGGGUUCUUACCUUCUGAAUAACCAGCAUGCCAUUCAUUUGGUGCGCUGGGGAAGCAGGACUAUUACCUUGAAAAAAUUAGAGUGCUCAAAGCAGGCUAGUGCCUGAAUACAUUAGCAUGGAAUAAUAAAAUAGGACGGCAUGGUUCUAUUUUGUUGGUUUCUAGGAUCACCGUAAUGAUUAAUAGGGAUAGUUGGGGGCAUUAGUAUUCAAUUGUCAGAGGUGAAAUUCUUGGAUUUAUUGAAGACUAACUUCUGCGAAAGCAUUUGCCAAGGAUGUUUUCAUUAAUCAAGAACGAAAGUUAGGGGAUCGAAGACGAUCAGAUACCGUCGUAGUCUUAACCAUAAACUAUGCCGACUAGGGAUCGGACGAUGUUAAUUUUUUAAUGACUCGUUCGGCGCCUUACGGGAAACCAAGUGUUUUGGGUUCAAGUAAGGAGGUGAACGGGU